rnacentral:tRNA from 2 species
GCCCGUGUAGCUCAGUCGGUAGAGCACAUCGUUGGUAACGAUGAGGUCACCGGUUCAAGUCCGGUCGCGGGCUCCA